UGACCUCAAAUCAGGUAGGACUACCCGCUGAACUUAAGCAUAUCAAUAAGCGGAGGAAAAGAAACUAACAAGGAUUCCCCUAGUAACUGCGAGUGAAGCGGGAAAAGCUCAAAUUUUGAAUCUGGCGGUCUUUGCAGACCGUCCGAGUUGUAAUCUAGAGAAG
rnacentral:rRNA from 1 species